UACGUAGGGUGCAAGCGUUGUCCGGAAUUAUUGGGCGUAAAGAGCUCGUAGGCGGUCUGUCGCGUCGGAUGUGAAAACCCAGGGCUCAACCCUGGGCCUGCAUUCGAUACGGGCAGACUAGAGUUCGGUAGGGGAGACUGGAAUUCCUGGUGUAGCGGUGAAAUGCGCAGAUAUUAGGAAGAACACCGGUGGCGAAGGCGGCCCACUGGAUCGGUACUGACGCUGAGGUGCGAAAGCGUGGGGAGCGAACAGG
rnacentral:rRNA from 1 species